UACGUAGGGGGCAAGCGUUGUCCGGAAUCAUUGGGCGUAAAGCGCGUGUAGGCGGCUCGGUAAGUCCGCUCUGAAAGCCCGGGGCUCAACCCCGGGAGGCGGGUGGAUACUGCUGAGCUCGAGUCCGGAAGAGGAGUGUGGAAUUCCUGGUGUAGCGGUGAAAUGCGCAGAUAUCAGGAAGAACACCCGUGGCGAAGGCGGUUCUCUGGGACGGUACUGACGCUGAGACGCGAAAGCGUGGGGAGCGAACAGG
rnacentral:rRNA from 1 species